GGGGGAUGGAGCAGGGCCAAGGGUUCAACUGCCACACUCUCUGUACCUGGUUUCCUGGGGUGAGCCUGCUGUAUGGGCUUCCACACCCCAUUGUUUCCUCUUUACAAGGGAUUCAUGGCCGCACUUCUUCCCUCCUCUGCCUCAUUUUUAAGCCCCACUUCCCUUGAUCAAUGAGGAGUGGGACUUCCUAUUGGAAGUCAGGAUUUGGGGUCCACUCUCAGCUUCAUGGCCUGCUUUUGGUGUCCCGUUAUAAUCAUUUAUUCAGUCCACAAAUGUCCACUGAGCGCCUACUGUAUGCUACUCUGAGUUUUCAGAUCCUAGUUGUUCCGUAUAGAGGGCAUCACCCAGGAGCCUUCCAAAGGAAAUGAGUUUUGUCCAAAAGCUAGCUUCCAGACUCUCUCUGCCCCCAACUGUGUGGCCUGUGUGUCCCCUCUCUGGCCUUCUGCUUUCUUUUUUUUUGUUUUGUUUUGUUUUCCCUAGGAAGAUUAGCCCUGAGCUAACUACCGCCAGUCCUCCUCUUUUUUGCUGAGGAAGACUGGCCCUGAGCCAACACCCGUGCCCAUCUUCCUCUACUUUGUAUGUGGGACACCUACCACAGCAUGGCAUGCCAAGCGGUGCCAUGUCUGCACCCGGGAUCCAAACCCGCGAAUCCCGGGCCACCAAGAAGGGGAACGUGCGCACUUAACCGCUGCGCCACCGGGCCAGCCCCAUGGCUUCUGCUUUCUUAUCUGCAAAGCUGGGCGCUGGGGAAAAUGAGGUCCUGGACCCCCCCCCUCAGCUCUGACACACUGUGGUUCGGUCUUAGAGCGUGUCUCCAGCUGUGAGGCAGCCCAUGAGCAUCAUGCACAGUGACCACAAUGCUCCAAAUGCUGGGCUGUGACGAGUCUACAGUCACACAGUUGCACAUCGAAAUCCUCCCCCUUCGGGCUGUCGAGGGCACCCAGGGCGGAGGAGGAUCUGGGGCUUUCUAGGCCUGUGAGGACUCUGGGCUCUGAGUUCCUGUGAGCUUGCCCAAUCCUGCUGCUGUGACAGAAAAUCUCUUCUGGGGUGUUGGGGACUCCUAAGCCCGCCCACCACAGAUAGUCAAGCUGUGGACUCUGAAAGGGAAGGGCAGGGAGGCCAUGGCUGAUCCCAGGACUGCAGGAAAAGUAGAAAACUGAAACAUCUUGCAAUGCCAGAAAGUAGGAGGUGCUCUAAGAAAUGAUGGGGGUGCAUGUAAGGCCACGGGAACUAUCUGGAAGGACUCCUGAUGGCCAAAUCUGGAAAAGUUUGAACAAUAAAAUAAAUAAUGAUCUAAUAGGUCACGACCCACUUAAUAAAACAAGAAUUCAUAAGUCCUUUCUGAAUAAAUAGGAAAACUCUUCCUUUUAGUAGACUUCCAACUAAUAGAUGGAGAAGGAGAGAAGAAAUCGAAAAUCCCUACUUGCCAAGUACCACCAUAAUAAUUGUUUUAAGCAGAGAUCACCAAGAAAUGCUAACAUUUUAGAUGUCAGAAGAGGCUACUGGGAACAGGCUUGCCAGCAAUAGAGAAGACUCAGGAGCCCUAGAAGCCAGUAUUUAUUGAGCAUGUUCUAGAAACUAAUGUCCAGAGAAUAUCAAGAAACUGAAGCUUCCCCUGCCCAACUCGUUGGCUUCCUGACAUCAGAGUCUCCCUUCCACCACGGAGACAAACAGCCAAGGACGCUCAUCUGAGAAAUCCUUCGUCUCCUCCACUGGAAGCAGCCCCAGACACAGGCCAAUGGGAAAGUGCUGACCAAGGAGUCCAUGGCCCAUCUCCCCUACCUAAAACCCCAAGUAAAAACCUCUACCCGUUUCCUAAUGGGGUGCUAGAAAAUUUUGAGGCACUAGCCCUUGCUUUGCUCCCUCUGCCUGGAAAAGUAAAGCCUUUCCUUUUUCACCCAAGAGUCUGUUCUCAUUAUUUAAAUCGGUG
ensembl:lncRNA